GCAUCACUCCAAGCCAGAACCCUAUUAAGUUUGCAACGAUAUCGACUACUCCAAUUGUCUCUCCUCCAAAGAACUUCUUAUCUUUCAGCUCAUUUUCAAGUGUUUUCAGGUGUACUAUCGCUUCUUCUAUGGCCUUCUCUCGUUCCUUGUCUCUGCUCCAUAUGAUCUGCCAAAUCGCAGGAUUGCACUUUUCGUCUAUGAACUUAGCCCAGAAUCGUGCCAUGGCUUUUUCAUAGGGAUGCUUGGGGAAGAUGGGAUUGGUUUUCCAAGUUUCAUCGAUGUAUUCAAGAAUGACAACGGAUUCAGCAAUUGGUUUGCCAUUGUGGAGCAGCACAGGAACCUUCUUGUGAACAGGGUUGUACUGAAGAAGCAAAGGGCUCUUGUUAGCCAAAUCUUCAUCAAUAAAUUCAUAUUCUACGCCUUUAUGUUUAAGAGCCAUCUCCACCCUUCUACUGAAGGGGCUCGCCCAAAAUCCCAACAGCUUUACUUCAC
rnacentral:misc_RNA from 1 species